rnacentral:lncRNA from 1 species
GGUAUGCUUUAAAAUAUUUUGUAUUUGUUUUCUUUCUCAAAAUUAAUUUGCUUUUGUCAAAAUUACUGAGAACAUUAAAGAAAGUGCCUCUUUAAACAAAUUCACCAGAAGUUUAAAAACUAAAAAAAAAAAAAAAAACGCAAAUACUAUUUUUGGCUACUAAAAGAUCCUGGACUUAAGGAAAAUGAUGAAUUCUGAAGAAACACAAUGUAAGUCUAUUAAGACCUUGAUUAACCAAAAUUUAAUGAGCCGAACCCAUUAAUUUUCUUUAAAAAGAUUAUUUUUGAAAGAACAACAUACAUAUUAUUGGAUGGGUCCCAGAAUCUGCAUAUACUCACUUUCUAUGGCCUGACUUCCAGAAUCAUGUUAAAUAACGGUAGCAGGUGUCUUGUCUUGUUGGCCUCUACUACUUCUCUGUUCUGAUGAUAUCUUUUAUCAUAUUAAGGAUAUUCUUUAUUCCACUUUUAACAGAGUUUUUAAUAAGGAAUCGGUGUUUGGUAUCUGUUGACAUAAUCUUGUAGCUUAUGUUAUUUAGCCAAUUGAGUGACAAAGUAUUGAUUUUGUAUCAUUACACUCUCUAUGACUAAAUCCAAGCUAGCAAAAACACCACCGCAUUUUAUAACCUGGUAAUAAAUAUUGAACCAAAAAGCAAUUUCUAAUGAAAGCCCUUGUUAAUCAGAAAUGUCAGAAUCCCUUUCUUAAAACAUUAACUGAGGUUUUACUGAAUCAGACUAGAGAAUGACCAGUUUGGUCUGUGAGUAUCAGGCUGCAAGAGCACCUUUGAAUUGAAGACCCCACAGGGAUUGAACAGUAAUAUACU